UCAGAAAGAGGAGUUAGCACUUCUCCCACCUAUAACCCCCAAAGUCACCGUUCUCAUAAACUACUUUCUG
rnacentral:tRNA from 1 species